GCUUUAAGGUUUAUUUAUAUUAACUAUUUUUAUUUAAUUUUUUAGGUUAUUAUUUAAGCUUUUUUGUUGGGGUGACAAGAGAUAUAUAAUUAACUUUUAUUAUUUAUCAUACAUUUAUUUAUGGUUUUUAGAUCCAUUAUUAUUGAUUAUUAGAUUAAGU
rnacentral:rRNA from 1 species